CCUACGGGUGGCUGCAGUGGGGAAUAUUGGACAAUGGGCGAAAGCCUGAUCCAGCCAUGCCGCGUGUGUGAAGAAGGCCUUCGGGUUGUAAAGCACUUUCAGUGGGGAAGAAAGCCUUGGGGCUAAUACCCUCGAGGAAGGACAUCACCCACAGAAGAAGCACCGGCUAACUCCGUGCCAGCAGCCGCGGUAAUACGGAGGGUGCGAGCGUUAAUCGGAAUUACUGGGCGUAAAGCGCGCGUAGGCGGUCUGAUAAGCCGGUUGUGAAAGCCCCGGGCUCAACCUGGGAACGGCAUCCGGAACUGUCAGGCUAGAGUGCAGGAGAGGAGGGUAGAAUUCCAGGUGUAGCGGUGAAAUGCGUAGAGAUCGGGAGGAAUACCGGUGGCGAAGGCGGCUUUCUGGACUGACACUGACGCUGAGGUGCGAAAGCGUGGGUAGCAAACAGGAUUAGAUACCCUUGUAGUC
rnacentral:rRNA from 1 species